rnacentral:rRNA from 1 species
AGAGUUUGAUCCUGGCUCAGGACGAACGCUGGCGGCGUGCCUAAUACAUGCAAGUCGAACGCUUUUUCUUUCACCGGAGCUUGCUCCACCGAAAGAAAAGGAGUGGCGAACGGGUGAGUAACACGUGGGUAACCUGCCCAUCAGAAGGGGAUAACACUUGGAAACAGGUGCUAAUACCGUAUAACAAUCGAAACCGCAUGGUUUCGGUUUGAAAGGCGCUUUUGCGUCACUGAUGGAUGGACCCGCGGUGCAUUAGCUAGUUGGUGAGGUAACGGCUCACCAAGGCAACGAUGCAUAGCCGACCUGAGAGGGUGAUCGGCCACAUUGGGACUGAGACACGGCCCAAACUCCUACGGGAGGCAGCAGUAGGGAAUCUUCGGCAAUGGACGCAAGUCUGACCGAGCAACGCCGCGUGAGUGAAGAAGGUUUUCGGAUCGUAAAACUCUGUUGUUAGAGAAGAACAAGGAUGAGAGUAGAAUGUUCAUCCCUUGACGGUAUCUAACCAGAAAGCCACGGCUAACUACGUGCCAGCAGCCGCGGUAAUACGUAGGUGGCAAGCGUUGUCCGGAUUUAUUGGGCGUAAAGCGAGCGCAGGCGGUUUCUUAAGUCUGAUGUGAAAGCCCCCGGCUCAACCGGGGAGGGUCAUUGGAAACUGGGAAACUUGAGUGCAGAAGAGGAGAGUGGAAUUCCAUGUGUAGCGGUGAAAUGCGUAGAUAUAUGGAGGAACACCAGUGGCGAAGGCGGCUCUCUGGUCUGUAACUGACGCUGAGGCUCGAAAGCGUGGGGAGCAAACAGGAUUAGAUACCCUGGUAGUCCACGCCGUAAACGAUGAGU